GGUAAGAUGGCUGAGGGUAGGCGGCAGGUUGUAGCCCUGUAUAGGUGGGGUUGGCCCCCACUCUUACCAA
rnacentral:tRNA from 1 species